GUUUGGUUAAGUUAGAAAGGGCGCACGGUGGAUGCCUUGACACUAGGAGUCGAUGAAGGACGGGACUAACGCCGAUAUGCUUCGGGGAGCUGUAAGUAAGCUUUGAUCCGAAGAUUUCCGAAUGGGGAAACCCACCAUACGUAAUGGUAUGGUAUCCUUAUCUGAAUACAUAGGGUAAGGAAGACAGACCCAGGGAACUGAAACAUCUAAGUACCUGGAGGAAGAGAAAGCAAAUGCGAUUUCCUGAGUAGCGGCGAGCGAAACGGAACAUAGCCCAAACCAAGAGGCUUGCCUCUUGGGGUUGUAGGACAUUCUAUACGGAGUUACAAAGGAACGAGGUAGACGAAGCGACCUGGAAAGGUCCGUCGUAGAGGGUAACAACCCCGUAGUCGAAACUUCGUUCUCUCUUGAAUGUAUCCUGAGUACGGCGGAACACGUGAAAUUCCGUCGGAAUCUGGGAGGACCAUCUCCCAAGGCUAAAUACUCCCUAGUGAUCGAUAGUGAACCAGUACCGUGAGGGAAAGGUGAAAAGCACCCCGGAAGGGGAGUGAAAGAGAUCCUGAAACCGUGUGCCUACAAAUAGUCAGAGCCCGUUAACGGGUGAUGGCGUGCCUUUUGUAGAAUGAACCGGCGAGUUACGAUCCCGUGCGAGGUUAAGCUGAAGAGGCGGAGCCGCAGCGAAAGCGAGUCUGAAUAGGGCGUUUAGUACGUGGUCGUAGACCCGAAACCAGGUGAUCUACCCAUGUCCAGGGUGAAGUUCAGGUAACACUGAAUGGAGGCCCGAACCCACGCACGUUGAAAAGUGCGGGGAUGAGGUGUGGGUAGCGGAGAAAUUCCAAUCGAACCUGGAGAUAGCUGGUUCUCCCCGAAAUAGCUUUAGGGCUAGCCUUAAGUGUAAGAGUCUUGGAGGUAGAGCACUGAUUGGACUAGGGGUCCUCAUCGGAUUACCGAAUUCAGUCAAACUCCGAAUGCCAAUGACUUAUCCUUAGGAGUCAGACUGCGAGUGAUAAGAUCCGUAGUCAAAAGGGAAACAGCCCAGACCGCCAGCUAAGGUCCCAAAG
rnacentral:rRNA from 1 species